UACACUCCUACGGGAGGCAGCAGUGGGGAAUAUUGCACAAUGGGCGCAAGCCUGAUGCAGCCAUGCCGCGUGUAUGAAGAAGGCCUUCGGGUUGUAAAGUACUUUCAGCGGGGAGGAAGGCGAUAAGGUUAAUAACCUUGUCGAUUGACGUUACCCGCAGAAGAAGCACCGGCUAACUCCGUGCCAGCAGCCGCGGUAAUACGGAGGGUGCAAGCGUUAAUCGGAAUUACUGGGCGUAAAGCGCACGCAGGCGGUCUGUCAAGUCGGAUGUGAAAUCCCCGAGCUCAACCUGGGAACUGCAUUCGAAACUGGCAGGCUAGAGUCUUGUAGAGGGGGGUAGAAUUCCAGGUGUAGCGGUGAAAUGCGUAGAGAUCUGGAGGAAUACCGGUGGCGAAGGCGGCCCCCUGGACAAAGACUGACGCUCAGGUGCGAAAGCGUGGGGAGCAAACAGGAUUAGAAACCCGGGUAGUCCC
rnacentral:rRNA from 1 species